rnacentral:rRNA from 1 species
UGGGGAAUUUUGCACAAUGGGCGCAAGCCUGAUGCAGCGACGCCGCGUGAGGGAUGAAGGCCUUCGGGUUGUAAACCUUUUUCGCUCAUGGUCAAGCCGCAGCUUUGGGUUGUGGUGAGGGUAGUGGGUAAAGAAGCGCCGGCUAACUACGUGCCAGCAGCCGCGGUAAUACGUAGGGCGCGAGCGUUGUCCGGGAUUAUUGGGCGUAAAGGGCUUGUAGGCGGUUGGCCGCGUCUGCCGUUAAAUCCUCUGGCUUGACUGGGGGCGUGCGGUUGGUUCGGGUUGACUUGAGUUCUGUAGGGGAGACUGGAGUUCCUUGGGUAGCGGUGGAGUGCGCAGGUAUCAGGAGGAACACCGGUGGCGAAGGCGGGUCUCUUGGCCGUUACUGCCGCUGAGGAGCUUAAGCGUGGAGAGCUAAGAGG